ACUCUCUCCAGAAAUCGCAGCAGCUCGGCCACAACCUCUUCAAUUUCCUCACUCAAUCGAAAGAUCAAGUGUAUAUUGAUGAUGUAUAGGAUAUACUUUAUGAAUUCAUGGACUCUCUCAAUACUGAGAUUCAGGACGGCAGUGUUGAGGAGGUUGCAGAAAAGUUUAUGGUAAUGCGUGAAGAAUGUU